GGGUCACUCAGGGUCACUCAGGGUCACUCAGGGUCACUCAGGGUCACUCAGGGGUCACUCGGGGUCACUCCCGCCCCUCCCCCAUUCAGGACUCUCUCUCAGUGCCGGAGGUGCCGCAGCUUUAAUGGGGGAGGGGCAGCGCCCGAAGGUGUCCAUGGAGGUCCCAAAGCCACCCCAGGUGUCCCCAAAGCCACCCCAGGUGUCCCCAAAGCCACCCCAGGUGUCCAUGGAGGUCCCAAAGCCACCCCAGGUUGUCCCCAAAG